rnacentral:rRNA from 1 species
CAGCCGCCACGGUAAUACGUAGGUGGCAAGCGUUAUCCGGAAUUAUUGGGCGUAAAGCGCGCGUAGGCGGUUUUUUAAGUCUGAUGUGAAAGCCCACGGCUCAACCGUGGAGGGUCAUUGGAAACUGGAAAACUUGAGUGCAGAAGAGGAAAGUGGAAUUCCAUGUGUAGCGGUGAAAUGCGCAGAGAUAUGGAGGAACACCAGUGGCGAAGGCGACUUUCUGGUCUGUAACUGACGCUGAUGUGCGAAAGCGUGGGGAUCAAACAGGAUUAGAUACCCCGGUAGUCCCUGUCUCUUAUAC